rnacentral:rRNA from 1 species
GUAAUUCUAUAAAACUAUAGAAGAUAUUAUGUUAAAACUAGUAACAAGAAUUAAUUAUUCUCUUAAAUAUACGUGUAAAUCAGAACGGAUCUCCCACUGACUACUAACAUCUUUGACCAUAAAGUAAUAACUAAUCAAGAAAAAUUUACUUUAUAAUAUGUUAACCUAACACAAGAGUAUUACAAGACGAUUAAAAGAAAAAGAAGGAACUCGGCAAACAAUAACCUCGCCUGUUUACCAAAAACAUCGCCUCCUGGCCAAUCUAUAGGAGGUCCAGCCUGCCCAGUGACCAUGUUCAACGGCCGCGGUAUCCUAACCGUGCGAAGGUAGCGUAAUCACUUGUUCUUUAAAUGAGGACUAGUAUGAAUGGCAUCACGAAGGUUAUACUGUCUCCUUUUUCCAAUCAGUGAAACUAAUCUUCCCGUGAAGAAGCGGGAAUAAAACUAUAAGACGAGAAGACCCUAUGGAGCUUCAAACUCUCAACAACUAUCUUUUUUUAUAUAACUCUAAAGAAAAUAAUGAUUAUCUAGAUAGUAUGAUUGCCAGUUUUUGGUUGGGGUGACCACGGAGUAAAACACAACCUCCAAGAUGUAUAGGAUUUAUUCCUAAACAAAGAAUUACUAUUCAAAGUAUCAAAAAAUUGACAACAUUGACCCAAUAUUUUGAUCAACGAACCAAGUUACCCUAGGGAUAACAGCGCAAUCCAUCUAAAGAGUUCAUAUCGACAGAUGGGUUUACGACCUCGAUGUUGGAUCAGGGUAUCCCAGUGGUGCAGCCGCUACUAAAGGUUCGUUUGUUCAACGAUUCAAACCCU